rnacentral:rRNA from 1 species
UACGUAGGGAGCAAGCGUUGUCCGGAAUCAUUGGGCGUAAAGCGCGCGUAGGCGGCCCGAUAAGUCCGCUGUAAAAGUCAACGGCUCAACUGUUGAAAGCCGGUGGAUACUGUCGGGCUAGAGUACGGAAGAGGCAAGUGGAAUUCCUGGUGUAGCGGUGGAAUGCGCAGAUAUCAGGAGGAACACCCAUAGCGAAGGCAGCUUGCUGGGACGUUACUGACGCUAAGGCGCGAAGGCUAGGGGAGCAAACGGG